rnacentral:lncRNA from 1 species
UCUUAUCUUUGGUAUCAUAGCAAGCUUAAAUAAUUGAAUAAUCUCCUUCUCAGAAAUGUGAUUCAAUUCCAUUUCUUGCACAUAACAUCUUAAAUAUUUGAAAAUAUCCCUCCCAUAAAAUUGAUCAACCUUAUUAACCACAACUUGCAAUGUUUUGGUUGCCAAAGCCUCUUUGCGAUCAUUGCCCUGUUGCUGUUGCAUAAAUAAUGUAAAUACUUGAAAUUUUUUUGCAGUAUUUGGAUCAAAAUACAUAUCUUGUUCACCAGUAGAAAUCCCA